AAUACAACCUCGCAUUGGGUCAAAUGCUGUCUGACGUGUUUCAUACCGAUUGUUAAGCCGUUCUUGGCACACUGAUUUUGACUGCGGAUAACUCCGUUUACCUGAUCAGGAUAUGGGGCUCACGGCGGGUGUGACCGGUCAACAGGGGAUGCUUACUCCUCCUAGGCACCUGAUCCCACCUCUGGUGUGUCCAGGGGUCCGUGUUUGCCCAACUAUCUAUUUUGUAUUGCUUGUAGGAGUUAUGAGAUUGAUCACUGUUCGUUAUCUUCACCUUGCAUCUAGGUCAGAGCACAGAUGCAUACUGGGAAAUAAUGGAUGACCUCCAUAAAUUUUUAACUUAGAGUGUUCAAUUGAUCAAAUCUCGUAAUAGAAACAAGCAAAUUAGAUUUAGGCCACACUAUUCAGUUUCAGAAGGUCUUUUAAGUUUAUUAUGCAACAAAUAUUUUUUUCAUGUUCACUUCCUUUAAUAUUUUGUAACAUAUCCUUUCGUUCAAAAUGUGUUUACCAUUCGUCGUGGUACAUAUAGCGAGUUGAAUGGGUUUUAAAUGCAGUUGAUUGUUAUGUUCUUGCAGCGGCGUUAUUUAUUUCACGUGUUCGUUUUAUUAAUCUGAGUUUUAGUGGUAAUCAAUAAUUCUCCAUUUUAAUCGCAUCUGGUGACUGUGCUGGCCAUAAAAUUCCACGAAUGUUGUUUUCUGUUUUAAGCUGCUGAACGAUAUGUGUGCUAUGCACGGGGGGCAUUGGCCUCCUGAAAAAUAAAGUCAUUUUGGGGGAAAUUGUAGGCUACAACUGGCCAUAAUUCAUUGUCCGCAAUUUUAACAUACUUCUGAGCAUUUAUAUUUCCAUUUACCACUGUCAACGACCCUGGAGCAUUCCAGUUUAUACACAUCCAGAUAAUGAGGCUACCUUUGGAACUGCGACCGGGGCUAAUGCACUGCAGCAUCCACUCUUCUGGUCUUCGCCACAGAACUCGCCAGUUGGGCAACUGAAAGUCGAUGUACCCGUGCAAAUUUGAACAAGGUACUCGUCCUCCUCAGAAAAAUAAGGAUUACCAUGCCCGCACACUGUUGGAAACACCACGAACUGUACAGGCAUUAGAAAAAUGGGGGAGUCAGUACAGAUACAUUGGUGUUGAAACUUGAAUUCUCAAAAAAAUUGUCCACAAUCCAACUUUUAGAAGAAACUGUGAUAUAAUUCAACUUACUGUUACAUGUAACAUAGAUGGAGUUGCAUUGUUUAAAUCUUCAGGAACUCAAUUCUGGCCAAUUUUAUGCUGUUUCAGCAAGUUUGAACAAUUUCUUGUGGCUCUUUUUUAUGGGAAAACUAAGCCAACAUGUGUUACAGAUUUCUUGUGUGAUUUUCUAGAAGAAAUAGAUUCAUUAAAAGAAAACGGAAUUACAUUUGAUGAUGAAACA